UUCAAUUUUUAACUAUUUGUCUUAUUUAAAAAACUUUACGAUUGAUUUUUUUAUUUUUAUUAGAUGAUAAAUCAUAAAUAGUACUUUAUGUGUGACUAAUUUUUUUUAAUUUUUUUAAAAUUUUUUUAAAUAAAACAGAUGGUCAAACGUUGGAUACGGAA
rnacentral:pre_miRNA from 1 species